rnacentral:rRNA from 1 species
GCCCGCUCAGAAACUUAAAGGAAUUGACGGGGCCCGCACAAGCGGUGGAGUAUGUGGUUUAAUUCGAUGCAACGCGAAGAACCUUACCUGGUCUUGACAUCCCGGAGACCCUUAGGAAACUAGGGGGUGCUUCCAUCUGGAAGAAUCUGGAGACAGGUGCUGCAUGGCUGUCGUCAGCUCGUGUCGUGAGAUGUUGGGUUAAGUCCCGCAACGAGCGCAACCCUUGCCUUUAGUUGCCAGCAGUUCGGCUGGGCACUCUAAAGGGACUGCCGGUGUUAAACCGGAGGAAGGUGGGGAUGACGUCAAGUCCUCAUGGCCUUUAUGACCAGGGCUACACACGUACUACAAUGGCCGAUACAAAGGGCAGCGACACUGCGAGGUGAAGCCAAUCCCGUAAAAUCGGUCUCAGUCCGGAUUGGAGUCUGCAACUCGACUCCAUGAAGUUGGAAUCGCUAGUAAUCGUGGAUCAGCAUGCCACGGUGAAUACGUUCCCGGGCCUU